UACGUAGGGUGCAAGCGUUAAUCGGAAUUACUGGGCGUAAAGCGUGCGCAGGCGGUGAUGUAGGACAGAUGUGAAAUCCCCGGGCUCAACCUGGGAACUGCAUUUGUGACUGCAUCGCUGGAGUACGGCAGAGGGGGAUGGAAUUCCGCGUGUAGCAGUGAAAUGCGUAGAUAUGCGGAGGAACACCGAUGGCGAAGGCAAUCCCCUGGGCCUGCACUGACGCUCAUGCACGAAAGCGUGGGGAGCAAACAGG
rnacentral:rRNA from 1 species